CUACAUGGCCAGCCUCACCAGUAUAUCUUCUACCACCACACCACCCAAGGGAAUGUGGGUGUUCUCCAGCAGCCCAAGAGAUCUGUGUUCAGCCCUUCACCCUGCGUUGGCUAUUGGGAAGGACUUCUGGCCAUGGGAGUUGCUGGUCAAUCAAGAGGAAAGUUCAAUUUCUGGGGAGAAAUGUCUAUUGAUUACUACACCAACAGCAAUUACAUUGAAGCCGAGGCCAGUGAGUAAGAUGGCAGUUGGACCAAGGCAAGAUGACCUGCAGAAACUCUGCCAGUGAUAAAACGGAUGCAUCUCUCAACUGACAAAAUAACCACAAAAUCUCUGCUUUUCGUGCCUGUGCCCAGUGUUUGAGGAUGAUGGAAAUCACAGAGAUAAAACACCUAAUACAUUCAUCUGUUUGCAGAAAAGGUUGCAUCUAAUUAGUAGGUAUAAUGUUAAUUCUGACAUAAAUUACAGAAUAAAAUAAUGGACAUGAACAUAAUACAAAAAUGCUAAGGCUGAACAAAUAAAAGAUUAAGAAAAUUUCAAGAUAAAAGGAGGGUUUAGCAAAAGAUACAAAAUGAACAUCUGAACUGGAUUAUUUUUAACCUCUGACUAUUCUAACACAUGUCCUGUAUCUGUGGGUAAUGCUUAGACAGCUUAUUAGAAAUUUAGCAAUUUAUAUAAAUGUCUUAUUUGUUACUGACACAAAUAAAAAUAUAUGCUUAUAUUUGUAUAAUAUUAAGUGAAUGGGAUUAAAAAUAUAUCUUGAAUACCGUCA
rnacentral:lncRNA from 1 species